rnacentral:sRNA from 2 species
AGUUGCAACAUCCCCGUGGACUGGAUGACGGUUUUAAAGCGAAUCGUCAUAGCGAAUCCGCUGCAACU